GAUCAUGGCUCAGGAUGAACGCUGGCGGCGUGCUUAACACAUGCAAGUCGAACGAAGCAACCAUGAAGCCUAGCGAUUGGUUGACUGAGUGGCGGACGGGUGAGUAACGCGUGGGUAACCUGCCUCAUACAGGGGAACAACAGUUAGAAAUGACUGCUAAUACCGCAUAACCCGCUAGGGCCGCAUGGCCCGGACGGAAAAGGAGCAAUCCGGUAUGAGAUGGACCCCGNGU
rnacentral:rRNA from 1 species